CUCUCUCAGAUUGGCGUGUCCUUCCAGCAGGUGGAGAUGUAGAAGACUGUGAUUUUCUCCGGGGAUCAGGAUCAUGAUUCUCAAGGCCAUUGGCAUCCUGAGAGAAGCACUAGCUGGGGCCCWCAUCAAUCCCUCCAGAACAGGGAGUCACAGCCAUUACCGUUCACCAGGCUGCCAGCAGCGUCCCCACAUCUGACUUCCUCACCAACACACACACGCUCAGACAGAGAGAGACACACACUCUGGAUUCUCCCCUCAGUGUCACUAGCUGAGAGACGGGCAGUAACGAGCGUAUGGCCAUGUCUCUCUGGGGUAAAAGUGAACGGUUGGCCAGACAGAAGAACACUAUGACCGCAACAGACAGUGGCCACAACAGCAACAGUCGGACCGCAGCAAGAAGGCUUCGACCCCACCAGCAGGAAGGCUUCGACCCCACCAGUGAGAAGGCUUCGACCCCACCAGCAGGAAGGCUUCGACCCCACCAGUGAGAAGGCUUCGACCCCACCAGCAGGAAGGCUUCGACCCCACCAGUGAGGACCAUCUGUCUGCAACAGAACAGUUUCACUCUCUCACAUUUUCUCUGACUGUUUCCUGAUCUCUCUCCACUCUCUCUAUUUAUCACUGUUUCCUGUUCUCUCUCUUCAAUCUAUAUUUAUCACUGUUUCCUGUUCUCUCUCCUCAAUCUAUAUUUAUCACUGU